GACGAACGCUGGCGGCGGGCUUAACACAUGCAAGUCGAACGGAAAGGCCCUGCUAGUUUGCGCUGCCCGAGGGGCGAACGGGUGCGUAACACGUGAGUAACCUGCUCUUGAUUUUGGUAUAACUUCACGUAACUGGGCCUAAUACCGGAUAGGAGCCCCUGUUGCGUGGUGGGGGUUGGAUAGUUUCGGCGGUUGGGGAUGGACUCGCGGCUGAUCAGUUUGUUGGUGGGGUAGUGGCGUACCAAGGCUUUGACGGGUAGCCGGCCUGUGAGGGUGACCGGCCACAUUGGGACUGAGAUACGGCCCAGAGUCCUACGGGAGACAGCAGUGGCGAAUAUUGCACAAUGAGCGGACGCCUGAUGCAGCAACGCCGCGUGCGGGAUGACGGUCUUCGGGUUGUAAAACGCUUUAGGCUGUGACGACGCGUGAGUGACGGUAAUGGGUGAAGAAGCACCGGCUAACUACGUG
rnacentral:rRNA from 1 species